rnacentral:rRNA from 1 species
CAGCCGCCGCGGUAAUACCGGCGGCCCGAGUGGCGGUCACUAUUAUUGGGCUUAAAGCGUCCGUAGCCGGGUUGGGAAGUCCUCCGGGAAAUCUGGCCGCUUAACGGUCAGAAUGCCGGAGGAUACUCCCAGCCUAGGGAGCGGGAGAGGCCGAGGGGAUUCCCGGAGGAGGGGGGAAAUCCUAUAAUCCCGGGAGGACCACCUGUGGCGAAGGCGCUCGGCUGGAACGGGUCCGACGGUGAGGGACGAAGGCCAGGGGAGCGAACCGGAUUAGAUACCCGGGUAGUCCUGGCGGUAAACGAUGCGGACUAGGUGUCGGGCAAGCUAAGGGCUUGUCCGGUGCCGCAGGGAAGCCGUUAAGUCCGCCGCCUGGGGAGUACGGCCGCAAGGCUGAAACUUAAAGGAAUUGGCGGG